CACAAAACUGCUGUUGCUCACUGAAGUGACUUGUGGCAGUAGAGGGAAGGAAAAAGGAAGCUGGAGAAGCUGUCUCAUGAAGCUGAAUCUGCUGUCCAAUUUCAUUCUCAUUUUCUCAACUAAGUACAUUUUCAGCAUAAAACCUAUACGUGAUACAGACUAUUUCAGCUGAAGGAUGCUCUUCCUCACCUAGCCUGUGGCCAGUAGGGAGAAGUUCC
rnacentral:lncRNA from 1 species